rnacentral:lncRNA from 1 species
UUUUGGCUUCAUAAUUCAGUCAAUUAUAGGUUGGUGGGGCUCAAGACCACGUCCACCUUCCUUUUUCACAUUGUUUGGGAGAUCAGGAGAAAAAAGAUGAAGGAGAGAGUCAAAUUCUGUGGGUACAUCAGCCUCUUGAGUCAGCACAACGAAGCAACAAGAGCAUGUGAAGCUCCUCGGACACGGACCGGCGUCAACUUCAAAAUUCUAGUCGAGUUUUAGAGCCGCAGAAUUAUAAUUAUAUGCACGAAGCCGAAAAUAUUGCUGUUAUCUAUACAUAUGGAAUCCUCUUCUCUUUCCAUGUCCAACGUUUGGGCAAUAGCUACACUACUUUGAUUGAGCAUGCGGUCUCAUACAGAUGCGCCAAGUCAGCCAUUCGUGGGAGUUAAAAUAAGUUCGAAUAUCCAGCUCAAGGUCGAAGUUAGAAUAAAAUGAAAGAAGAGCCGAUCCAAGGAUUGGUACUUUUCAUGGCAUAAAACAUAUCUGAUCUAUGAGACAUGCAUGAAUUAGAUGAGUUCAUAGUUCAUUGAUUGAGAUGGUCUCCACAACUCAAACGACAUUCGAGUAGUAAAAUGUUCCUCAAUCAUGAGUUGCUUGACGAUUUGGUUGAUGAAAUACUUCCGAAACUUUGCAAUAUGUGCCUUGCUCGAGAAUGAUGCUUGUCCUAUCCUGUCAUUGCUUUCGAAGUACGUGUUGCUGAGCCCUCAGGCUUCGCCGGACAAACUUUAUCACUUGCACAAGUCAUUGUAGCUGGUAAAUGAGGCGGCUCGCAAAGUGACGAGGGGAAGCAAGGGGCGAUUGUUUCGGCCACCUGGAAGCAGGAUUUACCCUGGAACAGAGCCCCAACUAUCAAUCCCUGCUUUGGAACACAAAAUAAAUGUCUUUCAUUCAUCUGAUAAGAGUUACUAAGGCAUGAGCGGUUCCCUCUGGUGGUACUAGUCAUUGACCUUUUACGUGCCUUCUCGAUGAGCUUCAAUAACUUUCCAAAUCCCUAAAGACAUCGGUAUUCAUUUCACAGCUCUUUUGACCCUUCUAAUUAUUCCUUCGAUGUCAAGCGCGAGAUGAUUGAAAACAGCUUCGUUUCUCCCUUUCCAUAUAGACUAGCGAGCGCGGCCAAGUUCCACAUGGAAUUCUCCAUCUUAGGAGGAAAAUUCUAGUUUUCAGAUUACUUCCCAACCAGAUUAUUUCCCAAGUUAACUUCUCGACUGGGGGCGAGUUUGAAGUUUUUGCGUUCCCGUUGCUAUACUUCUGAGGGAACAAUUCAUCAGUCUUACGAGUAGAAGCGAGUGCAGUCUGCGAAGUCAUUUUCUUUUGUAGCCUCCAAGCAAGUGUCGGGAUCAACAAGCUCAACUGAUUUCAUCUCCUUGCUUGCUAAUUUAACACUAGCAAGGCCACUGAUCCAUCAGUCGCCUCACUCCUCUACUGACUUCCCAUCAUUGAUCAGUCAUAUAGUCAGAACAGAGUUCUCUUUCUUUCCACUUUCAAGUUUCUACACGUUUCGCCAAAACUGGGGCAGAGAUUAGUUUGAAGAGCACGUCGAAACCCAAAGGUUUUCUUCGACAUAAGGAUUGGUAAGAUGAAAGCCGGCAGGGUUGUGAUGGAGGAGCCGUUUCCUGACGUCCCGCCCAAAACCGCCGAAAAUUUUUGCGCUCUGUGCUCCGGGGAGAAGGGGAUUGAUUGAUCCGGGAAACCGCUGCAUCACAACUUACAUAGGAUUCCAAGCAGAAGCACAAAGGCGACCACUCUUCGGAGUGCGUGCAUAAUUUAAAGAGGUCACGUCAUAACGAAAUAUAAGAGCUGAUUUGAGGCUGUCCUAGUGGAACAUGAGAUAAAAUGACCCGUUUUUUUUUUUUUUUUUUGACCUUGGAACCCCGUAUAGCCGGCAGUCGGCGAGGUAAGCGCUACUGCUACGGGCGGUUGUUGAUUUCUUGAUAGCCAGAAUCGGCCAAGUGGUGUCUUUUUAAGCAGUGGCUCUGUGUGGCCCCGACGGUGGGAUAGCAAAUUGACGGACGGGAAUGGACGGACGGAAGGGAGAGUCAUAAAAGGGCGGAGGUGGCGGCUGCGGCAGCUUAAGCCUCAGCUGUUCCCUCCUACGGGCACUGCCCUAGUAAUCCGGCCUCAGAUGUUCCCCUGCGGGUACAUCCACGGCCGGCUGCAACAACUCAUGGAUCAAGAGGAGGGCAAGCAGGCAAUUAACACCGAAUUUCAUUGGGGGAGGGAGGGAGAGAGAGAGAGAGAGAGCGGGCCUCGGACGGGAGAAUAUGAAUAGAAGAGGGGGGGCUUAUAUCAACGUCAGAGCAUUUGGGUGGUAAUUUUUAAAGAGCUCUUUUAGAAUCAAACGUCUUUUCUUCGUUUUGGUUGGAUGUGCGUUUUUCUUCCCUUUGAAUAUUUCAAACAUCACUGUUCCAGAAGUUCGCAUGUUAUGGUUGACUCCUUUUUCUAACAACAGGGGAUCCAUAGACGUUUUGAUCCGAUUAAUCCCAUGAGUAUACGCACAUCACUCCAACCGUGUGAAUCGUGUGCAUCGAAUAAGGCACCUUCGACGAAAUAACAGCUGUAAUCCCUGAGGUCACCCCGAGUGAGGACGGGCUAUGUUUGCAUUCGAAUCAAACCUUGGACCAGUCAGCCAACCUGAGGUUCCCUGAACGAUGAAUGCGAUGAUUUGGAGACAGGGCGCCAAAAUCGAAAGCCUAGUCGUGUUUCAGGUUCGUAGAAUUAUAGUUACAUACAUGAAACCGAAAAUAUUGCUGUUAUUGAUAAAUAUAGAAACCUCCUCCCCCCAUGUCCUAUGUUUAGGCCAUCGCUAAACUUCGACCAUCUUACGCAUGCGGUCAAUCUCACACUAAAUCGGUCAUUCUUAAGAGCUAGAAAUAAUUUGGAUAUCAGCUCAUGGUUGAAUUUAGAAUGAAAUAAGGGUUAAUAUUACGAAAAAUCACAAAUCGACAUACCUAUACAGAUUUACUAUCAAAAACUUAAACCAAUACACAUGUGAAAUUUACCUCCAUUAAUUUCCAUUAAUUGGAUUAAUAUCAUGUAACAAAUGGAGGUAACACCUCAAAUUAAUACUCCAAUCAUCUGCCACAUAUCAUCUAAUUCAACAAUUUAACGGUAAAAUUUAAGAGAGAUUAAUAGAGGUAGAUUUGUCACAUGUAUACUAAUUUCAAUUUGAGAUUUUUGGUGGUCAUUUAUCAUAAGUGUACUAAUUUCGAGUUUUUCAUAAUAUUAAUCCAUUUCCUGUUAGGAUGAGCUUCUGGAAAAUUUAGGUAUUGAAGAAACAUGGUGGCUUCUAAAAAAAAAAUCCUAAUUAGCUGGGCGCAUCGUACGCUUCAAAACUUUUGACUUAUUGGCCCUUUCUCUAUCACGAUAAGUCUUUGUCAUAAUGAAAUGAGCUUCUUCGGAAAUCGCACUAAUUAAAGUUGAUAUAGUUUUAUCUCUGUAUAUAAUAGUUGGUUAGGGAUGGCUAAUCAACAUCUCAACUUGAAAGGAAGAGAGGUAGCGGAGAUUGAAAUUACUAAACCUUUUCAUUAGAUCGGUGGCCAUUUACAUUUGAACGGGCUGUUGAGGUUAUAAUUUUUUUUUUUUAUAAAAAAAUACUCUUCUAGAAUUACACAUUUUUCUUUGCUUUGGAUUCUUGCUUGGAGUGGAGGUAGAUUUCUUUUUCCCUUUGAAUAGGUCAACAAUAUACAGGCAUUACUUUUCCAUAAGUUCCCAUGUGAUGUUUGACUCCAAUUUUCUAAAAUCCCGUGACAUAUGGACCUCUCAACUCAAUCAAUCCUAUGAAGUUAUACCAAACCGCUACAAGAGCGUGAAUUGCGCAAUCAGAUAAAACACCUUCUAUAGAGUAACAAGUGUGAUCCCAAUAUCAGGUAAUUCAACCAAGUUUUAUUAAUCAGCCUUGUUACCUUAAUCAUAAGAUUAGUAGAGUAUUCCAUGAAUUUAGAUUUUAUGUAGAGAAUGCAGCUUCCCCGUUAUCCAGAAAAUAAAAUAACAUUCAUCUCCGAAAAUAAGCUUUUUAGUUUCUUAGAGUGGCAGCAGGUAUGGUAAAAAUAUAUUAGAGGUAAAUUACAAUUUUUUUGUGUUUUAAGUUCCCUUCUAUUACACUUUCCAUUCUCUCGCUUAAAAUUUAUAAUUUGCAUUCAUUAUUCUUAAAGGAUUCUAGAAUUUAAGACUAGAGAUAUUAAAAACACUCAAUACUCGGCAUGCUCUAACUAAAAUCAUGUGAACUGUUGAUGCUUAGUGUUCGAAUUUUCUUGCUAUAUAAGAUCGUGGAGAUUGAAAUUACUAAAAAAAAUUCAUUUCUCUCGCACAUCUCUCUGUCUCUGUCUAUCUCUCUCUCUCUCUCUCUCUCUCUCUCUCUCUCUCUUCCUCUCUCUCUCUCUCUCUAAAAGGAGAUUGGUGACCAUUGACUGUUGCAUGUCUUCUCCAUGAUUUUAAUUAGAGGAUGCAAAGGAUCAAAUUUCCUAAAAUCUCUAGACUUAAUUGUAGAAUACUUUUAAAGUACAAAAUGCAAAGUAGAAUAUUUAAAAAGAAGAGGAUGAAAAGUAUAAUUAAGGGGAACUUAAAAGACGAAAAUUUUGUAAUUUACCAAUAAUAUAUUUUAUCAUUGUUCUCACCACCUUAAGAAAAAAAUUAUUUGCUGACAUUAAUGAUUUUGUUUCUCUCCACAAUGAAACAGUUACCUUAUCAAGGUAAAUUAAAAUUCAUGAGGUACCCCUACUAUUAUUAUGAGUAGUAAUAGGUGAUAAAAGACUUGGUGGAUUACCGAUUACUCAUAGUAUAUUUGCAUCUAUGGUUUNNNNNNNNNNNNNNNNNNNNNNNNNNNNNNNNNNNNNNNNNNNNNNNNNNNNNNNNNNNNNNNNNNNNNNNNNNNNNNNNNNNNNNNNNNNNNNNNNNNNUUCAUACAUCGACGUUUGAAAUGGGUUGAUGAAGCUGUAAUUUUUUUUAAACUCUUCUAGAAUUACACGCUUUUCCUUGCUUUGGAUUUUUGGUUGGAGAGGAGGUAGAUUUCGUUUUCCCUUUGAAUAGGUCAACAAAAUACAGACAGUGGUUUUCCAUAGGUUCCAUCUCAUGUUUGACUCCAAUUUUUUAAUAACCCGUGAUUUAUGGACCUCUUAACUUGAUAAAUCCUAUGAAUUUACACGAAAGUGCUGUAAUCACAUGAUUAGCACAAUCUGAUAAAGCACCUUUUAUAAAGUAACAAGUGUGAAUUCGAAUAGUAGUCAUGUAUCGGAUACAUGUAUUGGAAAAGUCAAUAAAGGAUAGCGGUUGCUUUGUGUCUAAGUUCAUAUAGAAGUUUCCUCAUCUUCAUUGCCUCAAAAGAAAGGAAAAGUCAACAAAAUUGAUUAAGCCGUGAGAUUUACUUAAUGAUUAAACAAUUAAUACACAGGAUAAUUGUACCUGAUGCAAAUAAUUCUACGAUUAAUUAGGUAAUUCAACCACAUUUUAUUAAAAAGCCUUGUUAUCCACCUCAUAAGAUUAGUAGAGUACUUCAAGAAUUUAGAUUUUACAUAGAAAAUGUAGCUUUAUCAUAAUCAAGAAUAAAAUAAAUAUCAUUCACCUAAGCAACUAGCCUUUUUUGUUUCUUAGAGUGGCAAGAGGUAUGUUAAAAAUAUAUUAGGGGCAAAUUACAAUUUUUUUGUGUUUUUAACUUCCUACAAUUUUCAUUCUUUUGCUUAAAAUUUAUAAGUUGCAUUCAUUAUUCUAAAAGUAUUCUAGAAUUUAAGACUACAGAUAUUAAAAAAAAAAAACUCAAGAUUUCACAUUGUCUAACUAAAAUCAUGUAAAUUCUCAAUGCUUAGUAUUCAAAUUUCUUGUUAUAUAAGGUCAUGGAGAUUAAAAUUAUUAAAACCUUUUCAUUUCUGGCACACAUCUCUCUCUCUCUCUCUCUCUCUCUCUCUCUCUCUCUCUCUAAAAGGAGAUCGGUGACCAUUGACAUUGUUUGUUAAGAGAGGGUAUGAUCAGUACAUAAGCUUUCUUCAUUCAUCAACAUUUGAAACGGGUUGUUGAGGUUGCAAUUUUUUUUUUUAACUCUUCUAGAAUUACAAGUUUUUCCUUUGCUUUGGAUUCUUUGGUUGGAGUGGAGGUAGAUUUCUUUUUUUCCUUUGAAUAGGUCAACAAAAUACAAACAUAGGUUUUCCAUAGGUUCCCAUGUCAUGUUUGACUCCAAUUUUUUAAUAACCCAUGAUAUAUGGACCUCUCGACUCGGUUAGUCCUAUGAAUUUACACCAAACUGCUCCAAUCACGUGAAUCGUGCAAUUAGAUAAAGCACCUUCUAUAGAGUAACGAGUGUGAAUCCCGAUAUCAUUCUUGAGUGAGAAAUAUGAUAAUUUAAAAACAGGCUCUAUCAACAUUUGAAUUAAAUGCUGGACAAGAGCGAUAUAAUGAUACAUGUAUUGGAAAAGUCAACAAAGGAUAGUGAUUGCUUUACUUGUGAAUUCACAUAGAAGUUUCCUCAUCUUCAUCACCUCGAUGCUUAAGAUCAUAGAUAAGACUACCUUCAUUUCUAGAAGCCUAUUAGAAUAAUGGCCCCAAGGGGAAGGAAAAGUCGACAAAAUUGAUUAAGCCACGAGAUUAGCUUAAUGAUUAAAUAAGAAUAGAUAGGAGAAUUGUAAAUUUGUUUAAUUUGAAUUUUUCAUACCACGGGAUGCAAAUAAUUCUAUGAUUAAUUAGGUAAUUCAACCAAUUUUUAUUAAUCAGCCUUGUUACCUGACCCAUAAGAUUAGUACAAUACUCCAUGAAUUUUGAUUUUACAUAGAGAAGGUAGCUUUCUCAUUAUCAAGAAAAUAAUUAACAUUUAUCUCAGCAAAUAACCUUUUUUGUCUCUUAGAGUGGCAAGAGGUAUGGUAAAAAUAUAUUAGGGGUAAUUUACAAUUUUUUUUUUUUGUGUUUUAAGUUCCCUUUAAUUUCACUUUCCAUUCUCUUGCUUAAAAUUUAUAAUUUGCAUUCAUUAUUCUAAAAUAUUUUAGAAUUUAAGACUAGAGAUAUAAAAAAAAAAAAUCAAUACUUGACAUGCUCUAACUAAAAUCAUGUGAACUAUUGGUGCUUAGUGUUCGAGUUUUCUUGCUAUGUAAGGUUGUGGAGAUUGAAACGGGUUGAGGUUAUAAUUUAUUAAAAAGUCUUCUAGAAUUAAACGUUUUUCCUUUACCUUGAAUUCUUGGUUGGAAUGGAUUCCUUUUCCUUUUGAAUGGUUCAACGGAAUACAUAGAUCAGUUUUCCAUAGGCUCUUAUCUUAUGUUUGACUCCAAUAUUUUUUUUUAAAACACCGGAUAUACGGAUUUUUUGACUCAAUUAAUCCUACGAAUUUACACAAACCACUUCGAUCAUGUGAAUCAUGUCAUCAGACACCCUUUUGUAGAAUAACAACUAUAAAUUUUAAGGUCACUCCGAGUGAGAAUAUGGUGAUUUGGAGACUUGCUACGCAUACAUCCGAACCGAAUGCUGGACCGUUCUGCCAACUAGGGUUGACUCCCAUUUUUUAAAAACUAAAUCUAUCUUGAAUAUUUAAGGGUUUUAUAAAAAAAAUCGACUUGAUAAGAGCAAUAUAAUGAUUAUUUGUGUACACGUGUCAACAAAGGAUAGCAGUUGCUUUAAGUCUAAAUCAUAUAGAAGUUUCCUCAUUUUCAUCACCUUCGAUGUUUAUGAUUAGGGAUGACUUUGGUUCCAAAAUAGAAUCGAGUAGAUAGGAACCGAUCCAAUUUCAAAUUUCAUGAUAUAUAGGGUUGGUUUCAAAUUCCAAGUCCCAAUAAUUUGAGAUUGGUUCCGACGGGUGAUCUAGAAUUUGAAACAAGUCUUUGUAUUUUUCUUAUUUGGGAUAAGUGCUGCAAAAGUCCUAAAAUAUGUCACGAAAAUACAAUUGAGUCCUAAAAUUUGCAAAAAAUAUAAUUGAGUCCUAAAACUUGUCAAAUUAUUUUAAUCGAGUCCUAAAGUUAACGCCGUCGACUUUUUUAACGGAAAAUGCCGACGUAGAGCUGACGUGGCCUUUUAAAUAAUUUUUCUUUUUUCAAAUGGAUUUUUAAAUUAUUUUUAUUCAAUUUUUUUUUUUAAAAAUAGAUUUAAAAACUAAAAAGAAAAGAACAUUUAUUUUUUAAAAUUGUUAAAAAAAAGAGAGAGAAGAAGAUAAAGCAGCUCCUCCCCCAUUGCCGUCACCACUGCUGCCAAUCGUCGGAGGGGUCGGUGACGAUCGCUAGCCUUGGGAGCAGGUGGCCGGCCCUUGUCAGCCCCAGGUGAUGGCCAGUGACCCUCGCCAGGCUCGGGUGAGAGUGCCCAGAUCUGGGCACGCCGGCCCGUCGCCUACCUUGGGCAACGCCUCGUCGGUCCUCACUUGAGGCCGGCAAGGCUUGCCAGAUCUGGGCGAGCGGAGGGCCGGUGACACCUCGCCCAAACCGGGCGAUGGCCGCCAACCCCCCGCGAGGGCCGACGUGCCUAGAUCUGGGCACCCUCGCCCGAGCUUGGUGAGGGUCGCCGGCCCCUCCGGCGAGGCUGCCAUUUUUUUUCUUUUUCUUUUUGAAUUGUUUUCUUUUUUACAUAAAAUUUCACUUUUCUUUUUAAAAUUUUUAAAUCUAAUUUAAAUAAAAAAAUUUAAAAAGCCACAUGGAAAAUAACAAAUUAAUUUUAAAAGCCACGUCAGCAUUUUCCUUUAAAAAAGUCGACGGCGUUAACUUUAGGACUUGAUUGAAACAAUUUGACAAGUUUUAGAACUCAAUUGUACUUUUCGCAAAUUUUAGGACUCGAUUACAUUUUCGUGACAAGUUUUAGGACUUCUACAGCACUUAUCCCUUCUUAUUUUAUAUCUUCGUGAGAUCUUACGAUAUUUCAUGGCAUCUAUUGAUGAGUGUGUAAACUAGAACCACUAGUUUGAGCUUUCAUUUUCAGUACUAUCCAUAACUGUGACUUUUAAUUUGUUAAUAUUUCAUACUUUUCAUGUAUCUAGAUAUGAGUUAAGCUUAGUGGAUUGUAGCAAAUAAUGAUCAUUCAAAAUGAUGAUUCAUUAUAAUCGUUUAAUUAAGAAUACAGGUGGAACCUAGAAUCGACCUUGAAUCUGUGAUGAGAUGGGUUCUAAGUUCAAGGAAUGCCAAUAGGUUUGAGUUUCCAAAAAUUAAAAAACCGAUUCCAACAAGUUGGUUCUAUGUUUUAAGAGGAACCUUGAUGGACUCUGAUACUGCUAAUCCCUACUUAAGAUCACAAAAAAGAUUGCCUUUGACUUUUGUAGAAACCUAACAGAACAACAGCCCCAGGGGGAAGGAAAAGGAGACAAAAUUGAUUAAGGUGCGGAUUAAUUGAUACGCACAAGAGAAAUGUACAUAUGUGUAAUUUGAAUUUUCAAACCAUGAGAUGCAAAUAAUACUAUGAUUAAUUUGGUAAUUCAACCAAGUCUUUUAAUCACCCUGUUACCUAACUCAUAAAAAUAGUAGGGUACCUCAUGAAUUUUAAAUUUACCUUGAUAAGGUAAUUGUUUCAUUGUGGAGAGAAACAAAAUCAUUUAAUGUCAGCAAAUAAUUUUUUUCUUAAGGUGGUGAGAACAAUGAUAAAAUAUAUUAUUAGUAAAUUACAAAAUUUUCGUCUUUUAAGUUCCCCUUAAUUAUACUUUUCAUCCUCUUCUUUUUAAAUAUUUUACUUUGCAUUUUGUACUUUAAAAGUAUUCUACAAUUAAGUCUAAAGAUUUUAGGAAAUUUGAUACUUUGCAUCCUCUAAAGAAAAUCAUGGAGAAGGCAUGGAUGCAAAGUUCAGAAAUCAUUGGGAGGUUAAUAAUAAUUAAGGAUAACAUAAUUGGGAUGUUAAUAAUAAGGAUAACUUUUUGUGAAUGUUAAAUUAUUCUUGUUAGGCGAAGCUUCCCAAAAUUCCAGCCAUUGAAGACCCAUGACAGCUUCAUGCCAAGCCAUAAUUUUGAAUAGGCCGAGAAUGUACUUUAGUAGAGAUAGUCCCUAGAAUUUAAGAAGGAACUUGAGCAAAGAGAUUAGAGUUCUUGAAUUUGAGGAGAAUCCAAAAAACAGAUGUUUGCUUAGAUAUUAACUUCAAAACUGAAAAGAGAAGUUGAUGUCAAAAGUAGAGAAGGGAAUUCUUAUCGAAGCAUUUGUUUAUGCUACUUUGUACUAUACAUGUCGAUCUUCAAGAUCCCUAUGUCAAUUUAACAUGCUAUAGGAUAGAAAAUAGCCAAUUUAUGGUAGAAAAAAAGUGACAAACAAAGGGGAUUCACUAAAGGAAAUUAAAUAGUAUGAAAACCAAGGAAAAUAGUGGUGAAUUGGAUUUUAGAAAUUGGAGGACCAACAAAGCUAUGUAAGGGAAAAAAGCUUGGAGAAUAGAUCAACAAUCCUCGGCUCUCUUUAGAGUCAACCACUAAAAGGUUUAUACUUCUCCCAUAGUGAUUUUUAGCAUGCAAGGAAAGGAGCUAGACCUUGGGGUUGGCAAGCUAUCCUUAUGAGAAGUGAAGCUCUACAAUCCUUGAUUAUGUGGGUUGUUGGGGAAGGGGAGAGUAUAAAGAUAGAGAAGACAAAUGGCUUGAAAGGGGACUGGAAGGACUUGCUGAUAUUGGAGAACCACGCAUGAUUGAUGAAUUCAUUGAUAAAGUGGAAGAAAGAUGUGAUGAAUGUUGGGGGCUAACAAUACAACCUAGUUGGGGGUGAAUAAAUUGUUUUACAAAACUUAAUAAUCUUUCGUGGAAAAUAGAUAAUGCUAAGUAAAGAUCAGGUUCAUGUGAUGUUUCAAAACUUGUAAUCAUAAUGUGUGCUUGUGGAAGUAGUAAAAGAGAAGCAAUAGCAUACAAUGAUAUAGUGGUUCGACUUUAACCCUAAGCCUACUUCUACUCUUUAAACUAACAAUCACAAGUCAGGUUGGAUUGCAUUAGUAAUUUGCUUAGAAAGUUACAAUUGGCAAGCACCGAUCCUAUUACACAAUAGAUCACAUUAUCAGGACUCAGAUAUUGCUCUUAUUUUUGUAUACUUAAUCUUUAGUACAAUUACUAAGAUAGCACGAAUGCAAUACUCCGAGAAACAAUUGAACGAGAGCGUUUCACUUUGAACACAAUGAGUAGCAAAUUUUCAAACUUUGGCAUGUGUUGCUCUCUUUAACAUUUGGUUUUUGAGGUUUUUCUUUUUAAUAACCAUCUCCAAUUUAUUUGGUGGAGGUGCAUUGGAGAAGCAAAGAGCCGUUAGAGUUACAGUUGAUGUUGCUGCACAAAGAUAGAACUGUUUAUACAAUUCUUUUCUUAAACAUUUGCAAUCUACCUAAAAAUAACAUCGACUGUUAUCCUUUUGCUGCAAAUUUUUGACAGACCUAUCAAACUAUCUACUUUCUCAAUUAUUGUCAUCACUCUGAUUUUGUUACUAUGCGAAUCCAUUGUCACAACGGCUAGUAUGCUAAACCAACAAACAUUAUUAAAUGUACAUUGUUGCCAUAGCACCAAUAACAUGAUAUUCAAAUUGACAUAGAUAUCGUCAUUAGUUGACCUCUUGGGUCCAUUAAUACUAUUUAGGCAAAAUCCGUAUCAGGACGUAUUGUAUUCUUUUAUCCAUUAGAUUGCACCAUGAAUAUUACCUAGUCCUUUGUUAUGAACCUUUGCAUAUAUCAUACUACUAAGAAUAGUUUGGAUAUUAUCAAAAUUACUUGGAGAUAUUUCUCCAACAAUGAUGAAUAUAAAUUGCAGAACCUGUUUGAUGAAGAGUGUCGUGAUGCACUCAUGAGGGGCACCAUUGAGAAUAGAUUUAAAGGCCAUUGUCCUAGAGACUUUCUACAUGGCGCAUCUCAGAAAGACAGCUUGAACACAUCAUCUAUAAGGUUGUCCAUAGGUUUGUCGAUCAAGAACGUGGACUCUCCUAAAUCCAUGCCUCACGUGACAUGGAAUUUGCAAUUUAAAUUUGAAUUGAAAAUAAAAAUUCUAUGUAAGGAGUUGCCACUAGCCUAAUAAGGCUAACUAAAAAUCAAGUAAGAUAUGAGAAGAAACCUUACUUUCUACACAAGUAGAGAUUUAGGGAUCAUGGCCUCUAGUGCCUUUUGGAUACCUAAAUUUGAUUAUUUGCUAACCAAAUUGUCAGGCUAGCCUUAUACCAAUCAAAGAUUCUAAAAUUUAUCGUAAUCAUUAUAAGAAAAAGAAAGGAACAAUCAAUAUAUUAAAAGAGCGCAAUCAAGAAAAAUUGAAAUGAGAGUGCGCAAACAACAACCUAACAUUAUCUCUAAAAAAGGAAAGCAUUCAAAAACCCUAUUAUACAGUCCUAAAGGUUUAUUCAAUUAUGAGUUCAAUUUUUUCAAAAGAUUUUCAUAUAUCCUAAAUUAGUUCUAAAUUAAAAUUAACACCAAAAUCUAGUAAAAUCUAAACUUUUUCUUAAUUUUAGAAUUUAUUAUUGUUGUUGUUGUUGAAUUCUAGAAAAUGGACUUCGGGCCGGGUCUCGAUUAAUGGUCUGACCCGGACCCUAGUUAUCCAGGCUGGGUUUGGAUUCGAACCUAUAUCUAGGGCCCGAUUCGAUGGUUUCGGUCUAUGGACUCGAACUAUUACAACAAUUCAAGCCCAAGUUGCCAAUUUCCUUUUUUCUAUCAUUCAAGGCCCAAUCAGAGCUCAGCCCACAUCACCGUAGCCCGGUCUCCAAGUCCAAGAUUUUUAGCCCAGCUUCCAAUCCGGACUUGACCCAACAUUAUUAUAUUCAUAUUUUUUAAAAAUAUUUUUUGAUUUUGAUUUUUUGAUUAUUUAUUUAUUAUUAUUUUCCUUUUUUAUUAGUUUUUCUUUUUGAGUCGUCUUGUUCAUUGAGACUCUCCACCAAUGAGCUGAACAUCGAAAUUUCAUUAAACUAACUCAUGCCGAAACUCCGACUAGUCUGACGUUAACAUCUUAUGUCACUUGUUGUCAUUAAUAGGGGUGUCAAAAACCGAACCAAACCGAACCAAAAAAUUUAAUUUUUUCUUCAGAUCGGUUCUUAUUUGGUUCGGUUCUCAUUAAAAAUAAAAAAUAAAAUUAAUCAAGUGGAUUUUUAUCAAUUUGAUUAACAUAACCAACUGAUAAAAUGUACAAUUUUCCAUUUUUUUUCUUUUAUUUUUUUCUUCUUCUUCAUUGGCCGGUCGCUGACCAAGGUGGCAACUGGCGAUUGACUAGAGGCAAGCUCGAGCCUCACCGAUCCAGCGAGGUUGAGCCUUGCUGGCCUAUGGCAAGGCUAAGCUCACCCAACGCUGAUGAGCUCGAGCCCCACCAAAUCCGAGCACUUGGGUGAGGCUCAAGCCUUGCUAGAGGUCGCCAGACAUCGGCAAGGCUUUGGCAACCUCCGGCAAGGCUUAAGCCUCGCCCAGCUUGUUGGCAUUGAGCAAGCUUGAGCCUCCCCAACCUGUGGCGAGGCUUGAGCUCGCUUCUGGCCAAUCACCGGCCGCCAUUAAGGCUGACAAUCAACCAAUUAUGAAGAAGAAGAAAAAGUAAGAAAAAGAAUAAAAAAUUGAUUUUUUUUUUAAAUUAUAGAAAGGGUGUAUGUAAGAAAAAUAAAUAAAUAAAAACCGAACCAAAUCGGGAUUUCGAUUUGGUUCGGUUUCAAUUCGAAUCGAAUUUUAGUUCGGUUUGAUAAAUUUUCUUAUCGGUUCGGUUCAAUUCGAUUUUCCAAAAUAAACCAAACCGAACCAAACCAAACCAUUUACACCCCUAGUCACCAAGUCAUCUCCAUUGGCCAUUGCUUCGGCCAUCAACCACUAAUACGGGUGAUCGAUUUUUGACAUUAAGAGCGUAUUUGGUAACGUUCAUGAGAAUAGGUGUUUCUGUUUUUUUUAUUCUUGGGAGUAGAGAUAAAACAGAAACACAUUUGGUAAGUUUUUUAUUCCCAGAAACAGAUUCAAAACAAAAACAAGAAAAAAAAUUGCUUAUUGUUCUUGGGAACAAUUCAAAAAAUAUUUUUUUUUCAUUUUCUUUUCUUUCCUUUUCUUUUCCUCUCUUCUUUCUAGUUAGUUGCCGACCUUGGUGACGGUCGGCGACUGGCCAAACAAGGCUUGGCGACCUCACCAGAGCCUCGUCGGCCCCCAGCGAGGUCGCCCCAAGCUCGCCAGCCAUCGGCAAGGCUCCCCCGAGGCUGGCAACGGGUUAAGAGGAAGGAGAAGAAAAAGUAAAAAGAAAAGAAAAAAGUAAUAAAAUUAUUAAUAUAUUAAAAGAAAUUCUCAGUCAUAAAAAAUUUGGAAUUGUACCAAACGUAUUUUCAUUCCCGGAACAUAAAUUUUUUAUAGUUACAAAAUGAUUUAAAAUGCUCAGAAAUUGUUCUCAAGAAUAGAAAUAGAAAAAGGUAUUUCUGAAAAAGAAAACUAUUAUCGGGAACAAAAACAUUACCAUACGCACCCUAAAUAAAACCAUUCAAGCAACAACCAAACUAAUUAACAAAACGUAAACUCAUGUAUAAAAGUGAGAAGAGCAGGAUGCUAAAGGAGAUGGCCUUUAACCGUGAGCAUCACCGGCAAGGGAAUGGCGCCUUGGCAGGAUUUUCAACUAUGGUGGACUUGGGACGCGCAAAUGCCACAAAAUCAUAUCGAUAACAUAUAUUCAGUAUCGAUCCAACAAUCUAGAAACAAAUCAAGCAUAUAACAAGACUCUAAUUGUUUUUUUCUUUUCUUGGUAACCGACGACUCCACCACGGGCCCUCUAUGCCUGGACAGCAUUGAAGGGCCGGGCCCCUAUACCUCGGGGGAAACUAGCAUAGGAUCUCAUCACCAUGUCCCCUCACUCAAGACGCUCUAAUUUUUUUUUUUUUUUUUGGUAAAAAAGACGCUCUAAUUGUUGAUUUUUUUAAAACCCAUUUUAGUACUUCAUUCAGGCAUUUUGUCAAACGGUUGAUACGCAAAUUCGAAAUACUAAUUUCAGAUUUGGAUUCAAUGUCAUUUACGACCUAGACAUGUUAUAUCAACCUCUAAACGCUCACAGAUCAGCUCGUCGCUCGGCCAAGAACGGAGAUGGUGGCCGACAGUCACAAAACCUGAUUUUCGGCCGGUCUGAGAGUGAUUAGAAUGGGAAAAAAAUUAUCAAAUUGUUAAAUUUUUAAAGAAUCUCAGUAAUACCCGUCCUCAGCAGUCAGCACCGAUUUCUAUUGGGUGUCAAAAACUGAACAUAAUCUCUCACCGAUUUCCUUUUUUAUUCUAUUGGGCUUGAGUGAUUUGUCUCUAGGCUGUGUUAAUGGGCUAAUGAAUAGCGGGCCGAAGGCUCAUCGGCCAAUGGGUAAAUGGGUUUUGGCUACGCCUACAAAUUAGGUCAUGUAUAUGGACUAUCAGGCUUUUUAUUUUCAGUUAUUUGUUAUUAUUGCUACAUUAUUAUUAUUUUUAUUUUGGGAAAAAUGGACUCUUGGACGGUCCACAAAAAUUCGGGGUGUCAACAUGAAAUGUUUGCAAUCGCAUUAGUAUCACGGGUGAAGAGUAUAGACUUGUCUGCACCAACUCUAGGAAAGAGAGUUUCAAAGUGAAGAGCAUAAAUAACAAGAAUAGAAAGGAGUGUGUGCCUUUGUGGUUCAAUAAGUAAGUGGGGCGUUUCUAUUAUAUCAAACACCGCGAUCUUUCUAAUAUAAAAUUUGGCAAACUUCUAUCCUACCUAAAUUCAAAUUCUUUCUCUAUAGCAUAUGUCAGAAUGCACUCGCUAUUAAGGAGAAUUUAUGUAGCACAAAGAUGGUAAGUGAUCCAAUUUGUAACCUUUGCCGCCAGCAACAGGAGAUAUUUGAACAAAUUUUCUUCCUUUGGCCCUAGACUCUAAGAGCAUGAAUGAUAAUCAUUCUCGUCAUAAAUUGAUAUCCGGAAGAAAAAUGGAUUUUUCUAUUUUUAUUCCUCGAUGAAUUUGUAUACAAAAAUUCAUGUUUGAUAACGAUGUAAAAUUUUUAUUCCCAAAAUAAAAUUUGAUUUGAUAAUGACACAAAAUUUGUCCCACUUUAGGGCCGGCAAAUGGUGGCGACUAGCUAUUGAUGGUGACUAGUGAUUAGCAGCGGCCAAUGACCUACGGACGGCAGAUGGCGGCGGUUAGCGACUAGUGAUUGACAGCGGCAGGCAACAAUGGCAGGUGGGUGGCCAAUUAUUAGAGAAUACGGAUGAUGAGAAGAGCUUUUAUUUCUUAUUUUUAUUCCGGAUAUAGAAAAGUAAAAAAUGUUUACUUCACAUUUCUAUUCCAAACCUAUUUCUAAACUAAAAAUUUGUUUCAGAAAUAGAAAAAUGAAAUUGCAUUACCAAAUAGAUUUCUGUUCCGAAAACAAGUGUGAAAUAGAAAAAUUAUUCUGAAACAAAAAUAUAAUAGUUAUUUCGCGCACUCUAAAUAUAUGAUAUGACAUAACCUUGAAAAUUUGGAUUUCGAACUCAGGGUUGUCAAGAACAGAGGAAUUGUCGCUCAAUUUUCAACAUACGUCGGUGUCCUUGGAAUUCCUGCCGGUCUUCCUUAGGAUCUGGAAAGAAAGGAACAACGCCAUCUUAAAAAGCUCAAGUCCCAUGCCCUGGAAAGCAACUGGAAUUAGCUGUGGCCAUGAAUGAAAACAUCGCUUGCUGGACAGCAAGACCAAGUGAAGAUAUUUAUUCAAUCUCAUACUCAGUCAAUGAAUAAUUCCAUUAACCAGUGCUUGAGGUAGUCGUUGCAAUCAAAUUAGCAAAGUUUCUAAUUUCCUAAUUAUCACUUCUUCUUCUUUUUUGGUCAUAACAGGGAAAUACAUUCACUAUAAAGGAAAAGUAGCUAAAGCAUCCGAAACAAGAAGGUCUAGCAAAAUGGAUGGUGGCGAAAUGGCCCAAUUUUCAGGUAGGGUACCAUUUCUAUGGGCCUUUGCAGCCUAAUCAGCUACAACAUUUGUCUCAUGUUUACAAUGGCCUCGUUUGGUUCAGCAUUCUCAAGGGGCUUUCAGCCCCAAAAGUCCAUUGAGAAAAAAUUUAGGUGUUUGAUUUAACAUUUGGAGGUGUUCUUGGUCAAAUGCUGGCCUUUGAAAUGAUGAAAACCCAAAGCAGAUGAGGACUUGCUUUGGGCUUUUAGCAUUUCGGAAAUACAAGUCCACCUCUACUAUUCAUCCGUUGACUUCUUUUUUCUUUUUUUUUAAACCGAUCAUCUUCCCCACAUCCCAACCGCCAUUGAUUGGCGACAGAGUUUCAUCGGAUUUUAUUUUUGUUUUAAAAAUAAAAAAUAAAAACCCUUUGCAAAUGUUGAGUUCACCUUUUUUUUUUUUUGUCAUUUUUAUCUUUUGACAAUUAAUAGCCUAACUUUUUAUCAAUACACUAGAAUGAUCAUUAAUUAACGAAGAUGAUUAAUACUAAAAUAAUUUAAAAAAAUUAUUCAAAGUUGAAAACAAACCUAAAAGAACUUUAGGCCAAAAGUUGAGCUUUGCAUCUAAUUUAUAAUCAAAUUUUUUUAAUAUAAUUUUUAAAUAAAUUUACUAAUAUAUAUCUUUUACAUUAUUCUCAACAUGAAAAUGUAAAAUGUUAUAUAAUCAUUGUUUCUUUUUUGCAAUUUUAAAAAUACUAAAACUAAAAAACUUAAUUUGGUCACUCUAAAAGACUUUUCAAAUAUAUGUUUACCAAACAAUUUUGCAUUUCCCUAAAACACUUUUCAGUUAUAGUUUACCAAACAGUGUAGCAUUUCGGAAAACCCAUUUACCUCAAAGGUAUUUGCAUUCUCCCAAGAGCAUUUCCCCAAAGCCGAACCAAACGAGCCAGUGUCUAACCCUAAUGCGAGAGAAACAGAGAAGGAGAUGGAUGGCUUCUUCGAAGAUAGCUUGGACCUCCCACAGCGUCGGGGCGGAAGCAUGAACUGAAUCAACCAAAACCAAGCAGUAUGAUUCGAUUACCAGCUGAUCAUGGGCUCUACCGAUCUCUAGCAGAUGGCAUCGAGUGAUUACUAACGCCAUGAACUCCGUUUGUAGCGCUGAAGAUGCGACAAAACUCCUGGUAAGGCCAUCGAUCAUUUUCUCGUUCUGAUCACAGCAAAUACUGGCCGUUGUCCCUUGAUUGUUGUGUGAUUGAAAAGCCCCAUCUAUAUUCACCUUGAAGACACCUGGAUCUGGAGGUCUCCAUAGUUCGCCAGGGUUGAGUUGUUGACAGCCUUUGUCUGCUGGAUUGUGAUUGGAAUAUAGAGCCAUUUGAGCGUUGGCUAUGGCAAUAUCCACAACUUGAAGCGCAUCCAAAUGCUGGCGGCGGAAAAUAAAGUUAUUCCAUGCUUUCCAAAUCUGCCACAGGACAUAGGCUAUGGUUUCCGGAUCAGGUGAGGACUAAUUUCGCAUAAAAUUUUCUGCAAUCCAUGCUUCCAUUCGUUGAAUUGCCUGCGGCUCUAUUUGAAUAUUGAUCGUCGAGUGUGACCAUAUGGUAAUGGUCCAUGGACAGAGCAAAAAAAUAUGUUUUACUGUUUCUGGUGUUCUAUUAGGACAGAGAGUGCACACUGGUUCUGAGGUUAUUUUUCAAUGAAAUAGAUUGGCUUUAGUGGGUAGGGCAUUGUGGCAUAGUGUCCAAAGAAAGAUUCUGAUUUUGGGUGCUAUGUUCAACUUCUAGAGUUGUUUCCACAGCACCUCUGGGGUUUGGUAAGAAGGCGAAGCUUGCUAUUGAUUCUUGCUGAUUGUUGUUUUCCUGAGUGCUUGAUAACCACUUUUGACGAUAUAGAUGCCGUGUGUGGUUUCUAUCCAAAUCAACUUAUCUGCUGCACGAGAGGGACUUACCAGGAUGGUAAGGAUCUCCUUGAUAGUAUGGAUGUCGUAGAAUCUAUGAAGUAGUGGAAUAUUCCAGACAUUAGCUUGCAUAUCUAGGAGUUCAGCGACUCUUACAGGUUCAUCGCAAUUUGCCGGGUCAACCAAUAUCCCUUUGGGCAGCCAAUGGUCUUCCUUGAUUCUGAUACUUUGAAAAAAGAAUAUAAUUUAUGGAUUAAUUGAACAAGCAUCAAAUUUAGCUUAAGUCCCAAUUUUGACCUGAACAUUUUUUGUCUCAUAAAAAAGUAUCAACUUUUGGUUAGGUCUCAAUUCAGGCCUAUUUUUCAUUUCUCUCUUGAAAGAAACAUUAACUUUUGGUCAGUUUCCAUGUCAAGCCCCUAUCAAGUUUUCACCUACUAUGCAUGGAAUAACAUGUCAAAUUUUCAAUAACAUUAUUGGACAAAAACUUGACAGGUCAGAUUUGAAGUUGAUUUUUUUUUUUUUUUAGUUUUUAUGAAACAACAAGUAGUUUGGGCACCCACCCUACUGUGGGCACGCUAGCUUGGGCCUUUCCCCCUCUACUUGCGGUAGGGGGGAGAUUCGAACCCCAGCGUACGCAUUACGCGACUCACCCGUGGCCGGGUCAAGUGGGUGGGCUCGGUUCGCCCCGGGUUUACACCGCCGAUUGCCGGCUGUACGGUGGUUCUCAGGUCACUAAAUAUAUAUAUUUGGGCUAUAAUUAGGGCUCGACUUAUGGUUGGUACUUUCUAUGAAGGAAAAAAAUUUAGACCAAAAUUGAGGCCCAAUGUGAAGUUGGUUGCUUUUUAAGACAACUUGCCUUAUAUAAUCAACAAUUUGAUAAUCGAAAACUUAUUUUAAAGCAUGCCUAAUAAAUCUAAGGCACUUGUUUAAAAGUUAUUUUCACGCUCAAAACCGCCGAAAAUUUCCGCGCUCUGUGCACCGGGGAGAAGGUGUCAAGGCGGGGAUUUCACUAGGGGCAACGGAACAGGAGGGGAGCCUAUGUCCGGAAUGAAACUUGCCGAUGAAAACUUCAAGAUGAAGCACACCGGCCCGGGAGUGCUGUCGAUGGCCAAUGUGGGACCCGACACCACCGGCUCUCAGUUCUUCAUAUGCACCAAGAAGACCCCGUGGCUGGACAGGAAGCACGUCGUGUUCGGGAAGGUCGUAGACGGGUAUAACGCGGUGAAGGACGCGGGAAACGGUCGUGAUUGAGGACUCUGGUCAGCUACCGGAGAAUUGAUGGGCUAGCACUUUCUAGAAAGGUGAAUUUAAAGUACUUGUCUAGACUGCUCAUAUCGUUGUGGGACGAGCCCCUUAAAAUUGAUUACGAUGCUGAACCUUAUGCCGCCCUCUUCAUAUGUACCACGGUGUUCUUGGAACGAUGUUUGAACCAUGGGACUGAUCGAUGCGAGUAUAUCAAUUGUUGAGAUGAUUUGAUUUUGACGUGCCGAAAUGUUAAUAGUUAGAUCAUUGAGGUUGUUCAUCGGGCCCACAGUGAUUUGCCAACCCGUCUCUCUUCUUGCCCAAAAAGAGAGAAAAAAGGGAAAAAAAGAUUUACCCAAAGACAACAAAAGGAGCAAGAACUUGUUUAUGUUAUUGGACCAAGGUCAACCCAUCACACAACCAUGAGAGAUGAGAUUGCCUACGUAGUGAGAAGCUAACUUUUUUAGGGGAAGAGAUAAGCGACCCCUCGUGAACUGCGGUGUUUAUUUUCGAAGGGUCGACAACAAAGAUACGGUACGCUAUGCCAAUGCCCUCACUCAGGAUAUGAUUCGGAUAGGUCAAUGAUGUUCUGGGGGAAUUAUAAAGCGGUGAGAUGAUGGAGAUGGCGGGGGCGCAUCCUCAUAUGGCAGCUCUUGCUGGUUAUGAAAGAUGUUGGCCCUUGGUGCCGGUGGCGGCACCCUCGUAGGGCCUGUCCUUCUGACUCUGGAGCCGUUGUGUCGCGACGCUCACAGUGCCGGUUUCCUCAUUUCAUGCGAGCUGGAUGGGCCGGAGCGCAUCGCGGCCUCGGCAUUGAAGGCGGUCACACAAGCUGCUCGAUCUGCCACCGCUGCCAUGAAUAGGAGCAUCGCCAGGAGCACGAGCUGCGACCGGGCCUCCAUCAGAUUCCUCGCCUAUGCGCAGGAAAUGGUUUUAGAAGGGGGGGAGUUAUGAAUUGGAAUGGCGAUGGCUUGCAAGCUUUGAGAUGAGAUUGCUUUAAAAGGGAAUGAAGUCCCAAGUUCACUUUUUAAGUCAAUUUAGCCUAGUAGUCAACGCACUCAUCACCCGGUUCAUCGUGGGCUGGGUGAAGCCAGCUGGGAAAGUUCACCCCGGUUCAUGGUUAAUCGUUGACUCCUGGCGAGUGCGUUGACUACGAAUGGCUGGAGUAAAGCGGAGGGAUUGAUAACACGCGAUUAGCUCGUAAUUCAUUAAUUUAAAUUUUGAGUUGGCGUAAGUUCCACUAAAUUCGUCAGCGAGCAUUCUCGUGGAUCUCUUGCUGUGAAGAUAUCGCGCAUUUGUCGUGCCUUCCCACAUGAUUUUGUGGUCCAUGAUGGACUAAAGCCACGUGAGUCUUUUCGGUCUAUUUGAAUGAUUUCCGAGAAGAGACUAGUAGGAUAAUAAAACUACACAACGUCUCCCAUCUGGAAUUAAUUACCUUACAGCUCUGCGAAAUUCCUCUCAAUAUCUGGGAACACGGCGAUUUGUGUAUCCUUGGAUAGUGAUCAUGCAGACAACGUGCGUGUAUUUAUGAUUGAAUUAAUGGUCCAAUUACACGGACAGCUCCAAAACCAGGAGAAAACCAGAAGCACGUCUUAUUCAUACUUAACUAUGACAUCACGUAAAACACAAGAUGGGUGGCUAACUGAAACAGAGAAUACCUGUCCAUGGAAUCACGUACAUUCUUGUGUUCUAAUAUGGCGACGGCGGCAGAGGUGGAGGUGGGGGCCGUGGUGGGAGGGCACCUUGAUGGAUGGGAACGUUGUGGACGGGCUUAGGUGGAGGCAGAGGCAGAGGCGUCCUACGAUUGGCUUCGCUUGGGCUGGGGUGAUAUUGAGCUGUGCCUGAGUAGUGCAGCUGGGGCAGUUCCGGCGUGGGUACAUCCGUCGCCUCCGGAUGCGGCGGAGGUGAGGGCCAUGGUGGCAGAGCACCUUGAUGGAUGGGAACGUUGUGGACGGGCGGAGGCAGAGGCAGAGGCAGAGGCAGAGGCGGAGACAGAGGCGACCUCUGAUUGGCUUCCUUAGAGCUGGGGUGACAUGGAGCUGUGUCCGAGUAGUCCAGCUGUGGAGGUUCCGGCGUGGGAACAUCCGCCACCUCCGGAGGCGGUGGAGGCGGAUGUGGGGGCUGUGGUGGCGCCAGGCAACUGGUGUGUUGCAGAGACAAGCUUUGGAUCCAGAAGAGAGCAAGCGGGAAGAAAAUACUUCUGAUCCUCAUUGUGGAUGAUCAGACAUGAGACAUUCAGAGCGUUGGAUUCAUUUAUUGACAGGGACUGUCUUUUUCGUCACUAGAUGUUAAAAUGGGCUUCUCCGGCAAAACUCAAGAAAGGAAAGAAAGAAGCCUUAUCUUCUGUAAGCGAGAGAGAUUCUCCGUUGCGUUUGGUCAUAAGUGGGGGUUGGUCAGCAACCUGGCCCAAGGCUAGGGAAAAAAAGGGAAAAAAAAGUAAAAGAAAAUUAAAUAUAUAAAUAAAUUAUCCACUUAAGAGUCAGUUAUGUACGUACGACGGAUAGUAUCCAUGUCAGUGAUUUUCAGCCAAAUUUGUUGAAUGGACCAUAUCGACAAAUCUUUAAAAGAUUUAGAGCUUAAUUGGUAUAAUUUACAACAACAAAAAUUGACACAAUUGAAGAUUUAAGAUUGAAUUGAUACAAGCUAGCCCUAUGUCUAGAAGGUGAAUUAGAAGUACUUGUCUAGAUUGCUCAUAUCAUUGUGGAUGGGCGCUUGAAAUUGAUCAUGAUGCCGAACCUUAUUCCACGCUUCUCGUCGUGUACUACUGUGUUCUUAUUAUGAUGGUCAAUCUGUGGGAUCGAUCGACGCGAGUAUUGCUUGUCAGGAUAAUUUAAUUUCGAUGGUGCAGAAUCUUAUCGAGGUCUUUGGCGUGUGUUCGCAUGCAUGUGGACAAAAUAACAGCACAAUCGCUGUCACGAAAUUGCGACCGAAUAUAAGGUAUCAAACUCAUCCGGAGUAAAGUAGGAAUCUAGAACAGGAGUUUUGGAAAUGGCAAGAAAAGACCCUCGAUCAUCACAAAUUUUCGGCAUGUGGGGGUAGGUACCGCAUCGCGCUAGUGCCUCAAGCCAUCAUUUGGUCCCCUAAAGAAGGCUCACCGGCGCACGUCAUCUCACAAAAUCACACAAUGUUCAUAUAUUUUUUAAUGGUAAAUUUGAAUUAAUAGAUAUAUACAUAUAUAUAUAUAUAUAUAUAGCCCUCUCUCGUGCAUACUAAAUUAGAAAUGAUGCAUGGAAUGGCUACACAUGCAAUAUAAACUAAAAUAUAACUCUCCCCCGAUGCCAUACUAGCAAAAGUUUAAAUUUUUCGGCCGAGCAUGCUAACGGUAGUGUAGCCGUGUAAUUUAGGUUGAUGAUUGAAUUUGAUGGUCUUGUCAAUGCAUAAUUGGAGGUGCAUAACAAUGAAGUGGAGAAUAAAGUCGGGAUAUGCCGAUUCGAAAGGAAAUCUAGACAAAAAGGCAGCAUUUCUAACAUCGAAAGCUCAUGUGUGAAGGAGAAAUUAUUGUAAGGCGUGCUUGAUUGAUAUUAGAGGAACUAAGCAUUGUAAAAAUUGGGUAGGUGUGGAGUAGCAAGUGGGAGGGGUAUUCAUCUUCCAUAAAAUAAGCGCACUUAAUGCACCUCGAGCUUUUCAUGGUACAUAACACUCUCCUAUAUCUAAUUAUCAAAUUUAAAAAAAAAUUGUUUACCAAAAAAAAAAAUAUAAAUUAUUUUCAUCAUCAUAAUGAUCUAUUGGAAGGGAUAAAGAAGUAUUAAUAUCAUAAAAAAAAAAAAACUCUAAACCAAUAUAUCCAUGACAAAUUUAUUACUAAUUAAUUUUUUUACCACAAAAAAACCCACAAAAUGACAACUGAAACAGAUUUACUCCAAACUAAUAUUUUAACCACUAAAAACCCCAAUUUAAUACGUUUGUUCGUUAGUUUCCCUUAAAUUGAAUUAAUGACACGAAGAACCACAAAUCGAUAAUCUUAUAACAAACCGAUAGUAAAACUUCAAAUCAAUACAUCCAUCAACUGUCAUUUGUUAUUCAAUUCAGUAAUUCGAAAGUAAAAUUUAACAAAAGCUAAUAGUGAAUAAAUUUGGCAUUGAUAUAUCAUUUUAUGGUUUUUUGCAUUCUAAAUAUUAAUUUAUGAUAAAUUUAUUGCAUGCGUACGAAUAUAUGUUUUUUUGUGAUAUUAAUCAUUUAGAAAAAAGAAAAAAGAAAAAUAAGAGGUUAUGCUUUAGAGAAAGCAUCCCGUGCCAAUAGUCUACGCGGCAGGGAUGGGGCGUUCUAUACAAGUAUUUUCCUAAAAUUCUUUAGAUUAAACUACUUUGCAUUUCGUCAAAGUACUUGAAAAAGUUGAACCGAUCACGCUUGACAUNNNNNNNNNNNNNNNNNNNNNNNNNNNNNNNNNNNNNNNNNNNNNNNNNNNNNNNNNNNNNNNNNNNNNNNNNNNNNNNNNNNNNNNNNNNNNNNNNNNNUAUUAAUUGUUAUACAUCAUAUCAAUUGCGCAUUUGGUAACGUUUCUGUUCUAGAGAACAAUUUUGAAUAGAAAUAGUUUUUUUUUUAGUUUUUAUUCCUGUGAACAAUUUCUGAGUAUAAGAACGCGUUUGGUAACUGCAAAAAAUUUAUAUUCCAGGAAUAGAAACACAUUUGGUAAACUUGUAUAAUUUUUUUAUAUUUUUAUUAUAUUUUUCUUUUUUUUCUCUUUGGCCGGCUACCGGCUAGGUGACGUCCGACAAGCUUGUUGGAGGCCAACCUGGCCCCAACAAGGCUCCAGUGAGCUCGCCAAGCCACCAACGAGGCCGCGCAAGGCUCAGCCUUGCCUAGGUUAGGCGAGGCCGACCUCGCCCAGCCACCGCGAAGCGAUGUCAUCCUAGAGGUGGCCCUGCGAGGUUGAGCCUCGCUCGGCCACAACGAGCCAUGGUGAGACUUGGCCUCUCUAGGGGCCGGCGACGCUCUGACGAGGUCACCAGCCCUCGUCUGGCCGGUCGCCGACGUCGGCUAUGGCCAAGGCCGGUGACCGGUAAAAGGAAGAAGAAGAAGAAAAAAAGAAAGAGAAAAAAGAAGAAGAAAAAAAUUUGUUUCUCAUAAGUGUUUCGGAGAAUAAGAAAUAAUUUUUUUCUACUUCUUGUUUCUGUUCCAAAUUUGUUCUCGGAAACAAAAAAUAAGCUGUUUCUACUUCUUGUUUCUAUUCCAAAUUUAUAAAUAAACGCAUUUUUGUUCAUUUUUUGUUCCCCAGAACAAAAGAACAAAAAUUGUGUUCAGAGAAACAGAAACAAAAAUUUGCCAAACAUCCCCCAAUUUUCUCAUAUGGGAUUUUUCUAACACAAUACACUCACAAGUGCAUCCUAACACGAUUUAGAAGCAAGCAAAAGCAUACCACUUAUCAAACGAAAACAAGAACAAGCCAAACUCCUUAGGAUGUUAUUUCCCAACUUGACUAACUAAUGCUCCCCGGAGAUAGGGGUGCCGCUUGGCGGCAUGCGCCGUUGGCCUGCAAGGCCGGGGGCACGAGUCUUGGGCCUAUCAUUCGGCCCCUAAAGGAGAAGUCACGCCGGGUUACUUCCCGGGCCGUAUUCACCCAGUGCAAAUUCGACAAAACCGCGAUGAAUUGGGGUCCUGCCAUUGUAGGUUAUAGAAGCACUUGUUCGUGGAUCCACAACCGCAGCAAAUAGAAGCAUCCCCAGGAACUCAAGUGAACGGCCCUCCAUUACUUCUUCCCCCUGCUCAUGAAUAUACUUCAAAAGUGGAAAUUCUAAUAUUGAUAUGCCUAUGCAAGUCCAAGUGUAGUUCAUCGAAUGACACCAUGUGUUAACUAGUGCUUUCAACAUGGUACUUGUAACUAGAGGUGUCAUAUAUGGGUCACUUGUUUUUGACAAAAAGUAGUUAAAUAGGUCUACUUUGAUAGGUGGAUUUUAAGUGGGUCUUAAGUGGGUCUUAAAUGGGUUUGGUUUUAACUUUUAAGUGGGUCUUAAGAGAGAGACUCUCUUUUCUCUUUAACUUUACAAAAACAUUUUUUUUAUAAAUACCGAAAUUAUAAUUAUUUUUUAUUUUAAUUUUCUUUUCUUUUUUCUUUCCUUUUUUUUUUUAUUUCUUCAUCCUCCGAUCACCGGCACGGCAAUGGCCGGCGACCGGCCGGGAGAGCCUCGAGCUCGCCGGAUCUGGUGAGGCAGAGGCCUCGCUAGCGCUCGAUGAGGCUCGAACCUCGCCAAUCUAGCGAGACUCGAACUCACCGGCGUCAGGUGAGGCUCGAGCCUCGCCAAAUCCAGCGAGGUGCGAGCUUGAGCUCGCCCAACGACAGCGACUCUCGCCAGAUCCGGCAAGAAGCGAGCUCGAGGCUCGCCUGUGGCCGGCCACUGGCCGUCGUCAUGGCCAGCGGCCGGCAGCCGGCCAAAGAAGAAGAAGAACCAAAAAUAAAAAAGAAAAUUAUAUUUUAAAAAUAAAAAUAAAAAUAAUUAAAAUUUGAUUUUUUAAAAUAAUUAUUUUAAAAAUUAUAAAAAAAUUUCCAUUAAAUUUGUGUUGUAUAAAACUAUUUUAACAAUACCAUUUUUAAAAAAUAUAAUAUAUAUAAUGGAAGUUUUUUAGUAAUAUAAUCAUUAAGAAAACUUAAGAAUAAGUUUUCAUAAAUUUGGUUAAAUAUGAAAAUAUUUUAUUAAUAUGGGUUGGGUUGGGUAUAGAUCGAAAAAUUUACAUUAGGCUUAAAUAGGUCAUAAAUGAAUUAAUGGGUCAAUUUAGGUUGACUCAUUAAUGACCCGACCCAAACCCGACCCGACCCACCCGUUUAACACCUCUACUUGUAACAAUCAAAUAACCCAAGUUUUUUAGUUUCUUGUUUGUUACUUUUCUCGUAUUAUGUAUGAAAAGUCAUUUUAAAGUGUACUUGAUAGAUGCUAGAAGAGGCACUCAUUCAUAAGAUGAUUUUCAAACUGAAAUACAUGAAAACUUCAAGAACGUGUAUAAUUCCCCGAAUCCAUUUGCUAAUACAGCCUUAAAAAUUCAGUCAAUUAGAUUGUGGACUUAAGACCAUAUCCACCUUCAUCUUUAAAAGAUCCAGAGAAAAAGAUGAUACACCAACUUCAAAAGACUAGUCGAGUUUUAGAGCCGUAGAAUUACAAUUAUAUACACGAAGCUAAGAAUAUUGCCGUUAUCGAUAAAUAUGGAAACCUCCUCUCUUUCCAUUUCCAAUGUUUGGGCAAUAUCUACACUUAAGACUGAUUAAGCAUGCGCUCUCACACAGAUGGGCUAAGUCAGCCAUUCUUGAGAGCUAAAAUAAGUCCAAAUAUUCAGCUCAAGGUCGAAGUUAGAAUGAAAUGAA